rnacentral:rRNA from 1 species
GAUGAACGCUGGCGGCGUGCUUAACACAUGCAAGUCGAACGUGAGAGGAUAGCAAUAUUCUUGAAAGUGGCGCACGGGUGAGUAAUACGUAGGUAACCUGCCCUGGAGUGGGGAUAACAACUAGAAUGGUUGCUAAUACCGCAUGAAGCCAAGACACUGGGAAGUGACUUGGUAAAAACUCUGGUGCUUCAGGAGGGCCUACGGCCGAUUAGCUAGUUGGCGGGGUAAGAGCCCACCAAGGCAGUGAUCGGUAGCUGGUCUGAGAGGACGAUCAGCCACACGGGAACUGAGACACGGUCCCGACUCCUACGGGGGCAGCAGUGAGGAAUAUUGGGCAAUGGGCGGAAGCCUGACCCAGCAACGCCGCGUGGAGGAAGACGGCCUUCGGGUUGUAAACGUCCUUUUAACGGGGUAAGAGGAAGGACGGUACCCGAGAAUAAGUACACGACGUAACUACGUAGCCAGCAGCCGCGGUAAU